GAUGAAGAACGUAGCGAAAUGCGAUACGUAAUGUGAAUUGCAAAUUCAGUGAAUCAUCGAGUCUUUGAACGCACAUUGCGCCCCCUGGUAUUCCGGGGGGCAUGCCUGUCCGAGCGUCAUUGCUGCCCUCAAGCACGGCUUGUGUGUUGGGCCCCGUCCUCCGAUCCCGGGGGACGGGCCCGAAAGGCAGCGGCGGCACCGCGUCCGGUCCUCGAGCGUAUGGGGCUUUGUCACCCGCUCUGUAGGCCCGGCCGGCGCUGCCGAUCAACCCAAAUUUUUAUCCAGGUUGACCUCGGAUCAGGUAGGGAUACCCGCUGAACUUAAGCAUAUCAAUAAGCGGAGGA
rnacentral:misc_RNA from 1 species